rnacentral:rRNA from 1 species
ACUCAGUGAAAUUGAACUCGCUGUGAAGAUGCAGUGUACCCGCGGCAAGACGGAAAGACCCCGUGAACCUUUACUAUAGCUUGACACUGAACAUUGAGCCUUGAUGUGUAGGAUAGGUGGGAGGCUUUGAAGUGUGGACGCCAGUCUGCAUGGAGCCGACCUUGAAAUACCACCCUUUAAUGUUUGAUGUUCUAACGUUGACCCGUAAUCCGGGUUGCGGACAGUGUCUGGUGGGUAGUUUGACUGGGGCGGUCUCCUCCUAAAGAGUAACGGAGGAGCACGAAGGUUGGCUAAUCCUGGUCGGACAUCAGGAGGUUAGUGCAAUGGCAUAAGCCAGCUUGACUGCGAGCGUGACGGCGCGAGCAGGUGCGAAAGCAGGUCAUAGUGAUCCGGUGGUUCUGAAUGGAAGGGCCAUCGCUCAACGGAUAAAAGGUACUCCGGGGAUAACAGGCUGAUACCGCCCAAGAGUUCAUAUCGACGGCGGUGUUUGGCACCUCGAUGUCGGCUCAUCACAUCCUGGGGCUGAAGUAGGUCCCAAGGGUAUGGCUGUUCGCCAUUUAAAGUGGUACGCGAGCUGGGUUUAGAACGUCGUGAGACAGUUCGGUCCCUAUCUGCCGUGGGCGCUGGAGAACUGAGGGGGGCUGCUCCUAGUACGAGAGGACCGGAGUGGACGCAUCACUGGUGUUCGGGUUGUCAUGCCAAUGGCACUGCCCGGUAGCUAAAUGCGGAAGAGAUAAGUGCUGAAAGCAUCUAAGCACGAAACUUGCCCCGAGAUGAGUUCUCCCUGACUCCUUGAGAGUCCUGAAGGAACGUUGAAG